CCUACGGGUGGCAGCAGUGGGGAAUAUUGCACAAUGGGGGAAACCCUGAUGCAGCGACGCCGCUUGAGCUCCUCCUUCUUUCUUUCUUUCCCUCUCUCUCCUCCUUUCCUCCCAUGACGGUACCUGAGUAAGAAGCUCCGGCUAAAUACGUGCCAGCAGCCGCGGUAAUACGUAUGGAGCAAGCGUUAUCCGGAUUUACUGGGCGUAAAGGGAGCGUAGGCGGCCUGCCAAGUCUGAUGUGAAAUACCGGGGCUCAACCCCGGGGCUGCAUUGGAAACUGGCAGGCUGGAGUGCCGGAGAGGCAGGCGGAAUUCCUAGUGUAGCGGUGAAAUGCGUAGAUAUUAGGAGGAACACCAGUGGCGAAGGCGGCCUGCUGGACGGUGACUGACGCUGAGGCUCGAAAGCGUGGGGAGCAAACAGGAUUAGAGAAAAAGGGAGUC
rnacentral:rRNA from 1 species